ACGGCAGCAUGAUCUUGCUUGCAAGAUUGAUGGCGAGUAGCGGACGGGUGAGUAAAGCAUAGGGAUCUACCCUAAAGUGGGGGACAACGGAGGGAAACUUUCGCUAAUACCGCAUAAUACCUGUGGGUUAAAGUCUGCUUAGGCAGGCGCUUUAGGAUGAACCUAUGUCAGAUUAGCUAGAUGGUGGGGUAAAGGCCUACCAUGGCGACGAUCUGUAGCUGUUCUGAGAGGAAGAUCAGCCACACUGGGACUGAGACACGGCUCAGACUCCUACGGGAGGCAGCAGUGGGGAAUAUUGGACAAUGGGGGCAACCCUGAUCCAGCAAUGCCACGUGUGUGAAGAAGGCCUGAGGGUUGUAAAGCACUUUAGUCAGGGAGGAAGGUUCAUAUGUUAAUAGCAUAUGGAAUUGACGUUACCUGAAGAAUAAGCACCGGCUAACUCUGUGCCAGCAGCCGCGGUAAUACAGAGGGUGCGAGCGUUAAUCGGAAUUACUGGGCGUAAAGGGCACGUAGGUUGUAUUUUAAGUCAGAUGUGAAAUCCCUGGGCUCAACCUGGGAAUGGCAUUUGAUACUGGAAGACUGGAGUACUGUAGAGGAAAGGGGAAUUCACAGUGUAGCGGUGAAAUGCGUAGAUAUUGUGAGGAACAUCGGUGGCGAAGGCGCCUUUCUGGACAGAUACUGACACUGAGGUGCGAAAGCGUGGGUAGCGAACAGGAUUAGAUACCCUGGUAGUCCACGCUGUAAACGAUGAAUACUAGCUGUUGGGUCUGUAGAGACUUAGUAGCGC
rnacentral:rRNA from 1 species